CUUGCUUUGAUGGAUGGCGACCGGCGCACGGGUGAGUAACACGUAUCCAACCUGCCGACAACACUGGGAUAGCCUUUCGAAAGAAAGAUUAAUACCGGAUGGCAUAGUCUUCCCGCAUGGGAUGACUAUUAAAGAAUUUCGGUUGUCGAUGGGGAUGCGUUCCAUUAGGCAGUUGGCGGGGUAACGGCCCACCAAACCAACGAUGGAUAGGGGUUCUGAGAGGAAGGUCCCCCACAUUGGAACUGAGACACGGUCCAAACUCCUACGGGAGGCAGCAGUGAGGAAUAUUGGUCAAUGGACGAGAGUCUGAACCAGCCAAGUAGCGUGAAGGAUGACUGCCCUAUGGGUUGUAAACUUCUUUUAUACGGGAAUAAAGUGAGCCACGUGUGGCUUUUUGUAUGUACCGUAUGAAUAAGGAUCGGCUAACUCCGUGCCAGCAGCCGCGGUAAUACGGAGGAUCCGAGCGUUAUCCGGAUUUAUUGGGUUUAAAGGGAGCGUAGGCGGGUUGUUAAGUCAGUUGUGAAAGUUUGCGGCUCAACCGUAAAAUUGCAGUUGAUACUGGCGACCUUGAGUGCAACAGAGGUAGGCGGAAUUCGUGGUGUAGCGGUGAAAUGCUUAGAUAUCACGAAGAACUCCGAUUGC
rnacentral:rRNA from 1 species